rnacentral:lncRNA from 1 species
UGAGAACCGGAGAUGCUUUGGGGCCAGACUGGAGAGAUGUAAUUAGAUUACCUAUCUCUUGAAGGGCACACAGGUCAAAAAAGUAGAAAUAAGGUUAGGUUUUCUUUUAAACUAUAUAAUUAUUAACUUUAAUUUUUACUUUCAGGGGUACCUUAUUAUAAGAGAAAAACCAAAUAAACUGGAAAUUCAAGGUCUUGGAGCCCACUGCUGUCGGCAGUCCAUGGCAAACCGCCCCCCUCCCCAAGCUUCCAGAGUUCAUCCAAACAAUAAUAAAAAAGCAAUUAGAAAUAGAAAAUCAUGGAAACUCUCAUACCAUUAAGAGGUCGUUAAACUUGGCCAGAAUUGCUAUAUUCAAAAGUUGGGUCUCAUUCCUUGGAUGUCGGAUCACAUUUUAAGAAAACAGUGAUUACAUAAAUUUUAAUACAAUAAAUGCAUGGCUUGCCAAGUGGUGCCAUGUCCGCACCCGGGAUCCGAACCAGUGAACCCCGGGCCACCGAGAAGCAGAACGUGCGCACUUGACCGCUGCGCCACCAGACCGGCCCCAAAGAUCCUGGCUCAAUCCUGAAGACCUCAGAGUAGACUGGUCCUUCCCCCCACCCACUGGUCAGUCCAGCCUCUUCGGCCGUAGCUUCCUCCACUCAGCCGUGUUUACUGUGGGUUUGCCCGGACCUGGACGUCACCCGGAACUGCUCUGCUUCCGAUUUCUGCUCUCUGAGCACAAUUUCCUGCCUUCCCACUCUGGCCCUGUCUUGGCCCUGUGACCCCAGCUCUGUCACACCGUAGGACAUUCCACUCUCAAGUCCUUCCGUUUCUCAUUUCUAGCAGCCCUUCCAACACAUCCAUCUUUUCCACUGUGCAGGCCAGACUCCACGUUCUGUUGCUCCAAAUACUUUGAGAACCUCAUCUCUUCCCUUUGGGCCUCUAGAUCCACUUCUCCUUCAGAAGCUUAGGGAUCAGUCAUUGCCCCCCGCCACCAUCCCUUCCCUCUCCACCAGCUCCUUCAUGCCACAUUGUGUCCACAUGCGAGCUCAGGUUGCCUCCACGUUAAUAACGGGCCUUUGUCGCAACUCCGUCUCCCGUCUAGCCUCUGAAAUGUGGACAUUGCCCCUGCCAUCUCCAAAUUUAUCCUGGCUAAAAUCAACAAUGAUUUCUUAAUUGACAAAUCCCCUGGACACAAUUUUUUAAAUUAUGAAAUAUAGCAAACAUUUUGAAAAGGACAGAUAAUAAUAGGAUACACUCUCUUGUACUGGACACCCAGAUAUAACAAAUGCUAUAUAUGCUUAAGGUAGUUAAAGUUUUUUGUUUGUUUGUUGAGUAAUAAAAUGCUACAGAGAUACAUUUGAAAAUAAAAAGUGCUUUUUAUUUAGUCUUCAUUCAUUUCCUUCCCUCCCUGCCUGUUAAUCUAUAUUAUGAAGUUG